rnacentral:rRNA from 1 species
UACGUAGGGUGCAAGCGUUGUCCGGAAUUAUUGGGCGUAAAGAGCUCGUAGGCGGUUUGUCGCGUCGGCUGUGAAAGCUCGGGGCUCAACCCCGAGCCUGCAGUCGAUACGGGCAGACUAGAGUGCUGUAGGGGAGACUGGAAUUCCUGGUGUAGCGGUGAAAUGCGCAGAUAUCAGGAGGAACACCGGUGGCGAAGGCGGGUCUCUGGGCAGUAACUGACGCUGAGGAGCGAAAGCGUGGGUAGCGAACAGG